AUUGAGUUACCAAGCUUAGCGGAGGUAUGCUAACGCUAUUAGCUAAAGUUACUGUGUUGACCUGGCAUCAGUAAGUUACACACGUAAAGUUACACACAAAAGCAUGGCAGGAUAACAGCAACUUCUCUGUCUUUCCAUAAUGUAGUCAGACACUUAAUACAAUCUGAGCCCGUCAGUGG